rnacentral:rRNA from 1 species
UUUCCUACGGGGCGCAGCAGUGGGGGAUAUUGCACAAUGGGGGGAACCCUGAUGCAGCGACGCCGCGUGAGUGAAGAAGUAUCUCGGUAUGUAAAGCUCUAUCAGCAGGGAAGAAGCAAGACGGUACCUGACUAAGAAGCCCCGGCUAACUACGUGCCAGCAGCCGCGGUAAUACGUAGGGGGCGAGCGUUAUCCGGAUUUACUGGGUGUAAAGGGAGCGUAGACGGCAUGGCAAGUCUGGAGUGAAAGCCCGGGGCCCAACCCCGGGACUGCUCUGGAACCUGCCAUGCUAGAGUGCUGGAGAG